CCUACGGGAGGCAGCAGUGGGGGAUAUUGCACAAUGGGCGCAACCCUGAUGCAGCGACGCCGCGUGAGUGAUGAAGUACUUCCGUAUGUAAAGCUCCUUCUGUAGGGAAGUAAAUGACAGUACCUGACCCAGAAGCCCCGGCUAACUACGUGCCAGCAGCCGCGGUAAUACGUAGGGGGCAAGCGUUAUCCGGAUUUACUGGGUGUAAAGGGAGCGUAGACGGUUAUGUAAGUCUGGAGUGAAAGCCCGGGGCCCAACCCCGGGACUGCAUUGGAGACUGUGUAACUGGAGUACAGGAGGGGCAGGCGGAAUUCCUGGUGUAGCGGUGAAAUGCGUAGAUAUCAGGAAGAACACCGACGGCGAAGGCAGCCUGCUGGACUGAAACUGACGUUGAGGCUCGAAAGCGUGGGGAGCAAACAGGAUUAGAUACCCGAGUAGUC
rnacentral:rRNA from 1 species